CAGCCGCCGCGGUAAUACGAAGGGUGCAAGCGUUAAUCGGAAUUACUGGGCGUAAAGUGCGCGUAGGUGGUUUGUUAAGUUGGAUGUGAAAUCCCCGGGCUCAACCUGGGAACUGCAUUCAAAACUGACUGACUAGAGUAUGGUAGAGGGUGGUGGAAUUUCCUGUGUAGCGGUGAAAUGCGUAGAUAUAGGAAGGAACACCUGUGGCGAAAGCGGCUCACUGGACCAUUACUGACGCUGAGGCGCGAAAGCUAGGGGAGCAAACAGGAUUAGAUACCCGCGUAGUCCCUGUCUCUUAUAA
rnacentral:rRNA from 1 species